rnacentral:rRNA from 1 species
GACGAACGCUGGCGGCGUGCUUAACACAUGCAAGUCGAACGGAAAGGCCCUGCUUUUGUGGGGUGCUCGAGUGGCGAACGGGUGAGUAACACGUGAGUAACCUGCCCUUGACUUUGGGAUAACUUCAGGAAACUGGGGCUAAUACCGGAUAGGAGCUCCUGCUGCAUGGUGGGGGUUGGAAAGUUUCGGCGGUUGGGGAUGGACUCGCGGCUUAUCAGCUUGUUGGUGGGGUAGUGGCUUACCAAGGCUUUGACGGGUAGCCGGCCUGAGAGGGUGACCGGGGACAUUGGGACUGAGAUACGGCGCAGAGUCGUACGGGAGGCAGCAGUGGGGAAUAUUGCACAAUGGGCGGAAGCCUGAUGCAGCAACGCCGCGUGCGGGAUGACGGCCUUCGGGUUGUAAACCGCUUUCGCCUGUGACGAAGCGUGAGUGACGGUAAUGGGUAAAGAAGCACCGGCUAACUACGUG